rnacentral:rRNA from 1 species
AACGAACGCUGGCGGCAUGCCUAACACAUGCAAGUCGAACGAGACCUUCGGGUCUAGUGGCGCACGGGUGCGUAACGCGUGGGAACCUGCCCUUAGGUUCGGAAUAACUCCCCGAAAGGGGUGCUAAUACCGGAUAAUGUCUUCGGACCAAAGAUUUAUCGCCUUUGGAUGGGCCCGCGUUGGAUUAGCUAGUUGGUAGGGUAAAAGCCUACCAAGGCGACGAUCCAUAGCUGGUCUGAGAGGAUAAUCAGCCACACUGGGACUGAGACACGGCCCAGACUCCUACGGGAUGCAGCAGUGGGGAAUAUUGGAAAAUGGGCGAAAGCCUGAUCCAGCAAUGCCGCGUGAAUGAUGAAGGCCUUAGGGUUGUAAAGCUCUUUUACCCGGGAUGAUAAUGACAGUACCGGGAGAAUAAGCGCCGGCUAACUCCGUG